ensembl:snRNA U6 U6 spliceosomal RNA
AUGCUCUCUUUGGCAGCACAUAUAUUAAAAUAGGCACGAUACAGAGAAAAUUAGCAUGGCCCCUGCACAAAGAUUACACUCAAAUUGGUGAAACGUUCCUUAUUUUU